rnacentral:rRNA from 1 species
CCUACGGGAGGCAGCAGUGAGGAAUAUUGGUCAAUGGCCGCAAGCCUGAACCAGCCAAGCCGCGUGAAGGAGGACUGCGCUAUGCGUUGUAAACUUCUUUUGCCGGGGGACAAAGGGCCGGACGGGUACCGUUCUGCGUGUACCCGUAGAAUAAGGAUCGGCUAACUCCGUGCCAGCAGCCGCGGUAAUACGGAGGAUGCGAGCGUUAUCCGGAUUUAUUGGGUUUAAAGGGAGCGUAGGCGGGUCGUUAAGGCCGCGGUGAAAGUCGGGGGCUCAACCCCGGCAGGGCCGUCGAUACUGGCGGCCUUGAGUGCGGUGGAGGUAGGCGGAAUGCGUGGUGUAGCGGUGAAAUGCAUAGAUAUCGCGCAGAACCCCGAUUGCGAAGGCAGCGUGCCGUGCUGCCACUGACGCUGAGGCACGAAAGCGUGGGGAUCGAACAGGAUUAGAUACCCUAGUAGUC